rnacentral:rRNA from 1 species
UACGUAGGGGGCAAGCGUUGUCCGGAAUCAUUGGGCGUAAAGAGCGCGUAGGCGGCCCUGUAAGUCCGCUGUGAAAGUCCAGGGCUCAACCCUGGGAUGCCGGUGGAUACUGUCGGGCUCGAGUCCGGAAGAGGCGAGUGGAACUCCUGGUGUAGCGGUGAAAUGCGCAGAUAUCAGGAGGAACACCAAUGGCGAAGGCAGCUCGCUGGGACGUGACUGACGCUGAGACGCGAAAGCGUGGGGAGCAAACAGG